rnacentral:ribozyme from 1 species
UUCUCCAGUCUCUUUCUUCUUUGUCUUCUUCUCUUUCUUCUGCCAAUCUUCUUAUGGGAGACAAAAACAGCGAAGAGGGAGAUGAUGAGUGGGAAGAAGCCAGUCUCAGUAGAAAGAUAGCCAAUGAGGUGGAA